UACGUAGGGUGCGAGCGUUAAUCGGAAUUACUGGGCGUAAAGCGUGCGCAGGCGGCCUGUUAAGUCGAACGUGAAAUCCCCGGGCUCAACCCGGGAACUGCGUCCGAUACUGGCAGGCUUGAAUUCGGGAGAGGGAUGCAGAAUUCCAGGUGUAGCGGUGAAAUGCGUAGAUAUCUGGAGGAAUACCGGUGGCGAAGGCGGCAUCCUGGACCGACAUUGACGCUGAGGAGCGAAAGCUAGGGGAGCAAACGGG
rnacentral:rRNA from 1 species